AACGCGAAAAACCUACCCACCUUGACAUGGCAGGAAUCCUUUAGAGAUAGAGGAGUGCUCGAAAGAGAACCUGCACACAGGUGCUGCAUGGCUGUCGUCAGCUCGUGUCGUGAGAUGUUGGGUUAAGCCCCGCAACGAGCGCAACCCUUGUCAUUAGUUGCUACGAAAGGGCACUCUAAUGAGACUGCCGGUGACAAACCGGAGGAAGGUGGGGAUGACGUCAAGUCCUCAUGGCCCUUAUAGGUGGGGCUACACACGUCAUACAAUGGCCGGUACAAAGGGCAGCCAACCCGCGAGGGGGAGCCAAUCCCAUAAAGCCGGUCGUAGUCCGGAUCGCAGUCUGCAACUCGACUGCGUGAAGUCGGAAUCGCUAGUAAUCGUGGAUCAGCAUGUCACGGUGAAUACGUUCCCGGGUCUUGUACACACCGCCCGUCACACCAUGGGAGCGGGUCUCGCCAGAAGUAGUUAGCCUAACCGCAAGGAGGGCGAUUACCACGGCGGGGUUCGUACUGGGGAAGUCGUACAAGGUACCAAUCG
rnacentral:rRNA from 1 species